UAUCGAUCUGAAAUCAGGUGGGACUACCCGCUGAACUUAAGCAUAUCAAUAAGCGGAGGA
rnacentral:rRNA from 1 species